AUUGAACGCUGGCGGCAUGCUUUACACAUGCAAGUCGAACGGCAGCGCGGGCUUCGGCCUGGCGGCGAGUGGCGAACGGGUGAGUAAUGCAUCGGAACGUGCCCAGUAGUGGGGGAUAGCCUGGCGAAAGCCGGAUUAAUACCGCAUACGACCUGAGGGUGAAAGCGGGGGGCCGAAAGGCCUCGCGCUAUUGGAGCGGCCGAUGUCGGAUUAGCUAGUUGGUGGGGUAAAGGCUUACCAAGGCGACGAUCCGUAGCUGGUCUGAGAGGACGACCAGCCACACUGGGACUGAGACACGGCCCAGACUCCUACGGGAGGCAGCAGUGGGGAAUUUUGGACAAUGGGGGCAACCCUGAUCCAGCCAUGCCGCGUGCGGGAAGAAGGCCUUCGGGUUGUAAACCGCUUUUGUUCGGGAAGAAAUCCUCUGGGCUAAUACCCCGGGGGGAUGACGGUACCGGAAGAAUAAGCACCGGCUAACUACGUG
rnacentral:rRNA from 1 species